rnacentral:lncRNA from 1 species
CCCUUAAAUUGAAAUGAUGUCUGCUGAAGUUUUAACAAGUGUUUGAAGUAUUCUGAAACUUCCAAAAUAGCUCUUUUUAGUUUUGAGGUGAGAGCACCACUCUGCUACUGUACUAAAUCUCAUUUCAGUUUUUACUCAUGAUGUCUGCGAGGAGGAGGUUACCUCGGCGAGAACCUGACCCAGAGAGCGGAGCAUCCAUGGUCUUGUCCUCUCGCCGACGCCCUUUGGCUGUGCGAGGGCCCAGGGAAGGAGCGGCGGCGGCGCACGGGGUCGGGGAGGGGCGGCGGUGGCGGUGGCGCACGGGGCCGGGGAGGGGCGGGACAGGGGCGGGGCCGGGGGAUCUGGACGGCGGCGGCGGCGGCGGCGGCGCACGGGGAGCAGCAGUACUGCGGUGGCGGCGCGGGGGCUUCGGCGGCGUGCGGGCGUCGGCGGCGGGAGCAGCGGUGUGGGGCGUCUGGUUGGGCCACGGGUGUUAGGGUUGGCGUCUGGUUGGGCCACUAGUGGAGAUAAGGGGAUUUUAUUUUUUCUGAGAAUAUCCUUUGCCGAGAGCCGCAGAGAAAAACUCUCGGCAAAGAAAAAGACUAGUUAUUUUCUACAAAUACCCUUUGCCGAGAGCCAGCCAGUAAGGCUCUCGGCAAAGAUCCUUUGCCGAGAGCCAGAUGUACAGGCUCUCGGCAAAGAGCUGUUGACUUUUUUUAUUUUUUUUAUUUUAGAGCUGAGUUUUUUUGUGUGUAUUUGUGACACAAUUUCUAAAUACAUUUCAAAAUUUGGUAUCAAUUUGACUUUUUUUUACUAUAUUUAAAUAAUUAAUCUUGUUUCUUUAUAUUUUUCACAUAAUUCAAAUUUGAACUGCAGGUACAUGCAAUAUUGGAACUCGGUGAUUCGAAAAAUGAUAGUCUGGAUAUUUGGUGUAUGUUGAGGCCGUAUCCACAACCAUACAUAAAAUCUCAACCCUCUCGCUAAUGUAACAUGUCGAGGAAUGUGAGGGAAAGUGAUUUUUAAUUAUAUAAAUUCAAAAUGAAGUCCAGAAAUCACGAAACUUGGCAACGAGUUGUGUUAUCGCAUGUUGAGGGUGUGGUAAAAAAUUCAUAAGGUUCCGAGCAAGUUGGGACACCGGAUGUCUAAAACCCAUACUUCUCCACAUGUGAUCAAUUGUGAUCAAAUAUGGAGAAGUUUGGGUUUUAGACAUCCGGAGUUGCAACUUACUUGAAACCUUAUGAUUUUUUUACCACAGCGUCGACAUACAAUAAUACGGCAUGUCGCCAAGUUUUGUGAUUUUUGGAGUUCAUUUGGAUUUUUUAUAAUUAAAAAUCACAUCUACAACACAUGGAUGGUCAUGUUUCGUAUACAAGACAUUCAAACUUUUGGGUGACUUUAUGGAUACAGCCUCAAAAUACACUCUCGAACAUGAAUAUCAUUUUUUGAAUGGCUAUAUUUUAUUAUUUAAUACACCUCUAGUUCAAAUUGACUUUUUCAAGAAAAAUGCAAGGAAAAUAAAUUAAUUGAUGAAAUAUAGCAAAAUAUCAUAAAAAUCUCUAAACUUUGAACAUAUGCUUGUAUACAAUAUGCAAGGGCUACAGAAAAAGUUUGGGUCCAAAAUUCAAAAAAAAAAUUCCCUCUUUGCCGAGGGCCAAUUUUGGCUCUCGGCAAAGAAGCUCUUUGCCGAGGGUCAGUUAUGGCUCUCGGCAAAGGAGCUCUUUGCCGAGAGCCAGAGUGGCAUGCGCUCGGCAAAGGUUGCUAGUCUGGGUCCAGCUUUAAGCAUGUGAGAUUUGCCACCCUCCUCUUUUCCGAGAGCCUAACAGGGUGGCUCUCGGCAAAGGCGACGACUACGGGAGCCGUUCACGGCGCGGCACCUUUGCCGAGAGCCUUCCUUUGCCGAGAGUCGUACUUUCGGCAAAGCUGGCCUUUGCCGAGUGCUCGGCUUUGCCGAGAGCUUAGCCGUCGGCAAAGGGUCUUUGCCUAGAGUCCGUCCUGGCUCUCGGCAAAGGAUGCUUUGCCGAGGGUCUGACUCUCGGCAAAGCUGGACCCUCGGCAAAGCUUCGGUUUCCCGUAGUGACGCCUCGCGCUCACUGCCUGCUUCCCUCCCCUCCGCGUCUUCAGUCUUGCCCGGUCGCCCCCUGCUCCGUCGUGUCGUGCCGCCUGGCAAACGCCCCUGGCCCCCUCACCUCCCUGUCUCGCUUGACCAUGGAUGGGGGUGUAGAUGCCGUGGAUGGGGUGUACAUCGUGAAGUCCGAUCCGCUGCAGCAGCCGCUGGCAAGAGCAGAGCAGCUCCCAUCUCUCCCUCUGGAGAUGGAGUGAUGGACAUGUGUUAGGUUUGGUCCGUGCUUGCAAUAUGUGUUUUCUUGCUGGCAAGUGUGUUCUCUAACCCAUUCUUCAAAUCUCUUUAGUUGCUUACUUACAGGUGUUGUUGCUCUCCUUGCUUAAGGUACAUGACCUCCCCUUCCUGCCCCUAUCUUUGAUUUGGCAUCUUCAAUGUCAUAUAUUGCUUAAUUGUGCAGCUAUAACUAAAAUAUAAAGUUUUCGAAACCUACAAUAUUAAGUUUAUGUGGCCCUAUGGUUUGGCACAGAUGUUCAAAGAUUUUCAAUUAUUCCAAUCAUUUUAGGUUCAACAUAUACUUGUCUGUUUCCAAAUUGUUUAGGCACCACUGGAAAGUGGAAGAUGCUUCAGCAAGCAGCUUUGGUCCAAGAACUCAGGUACUGUAUGUUCUCCAUUGCACAAGACUUACAGUUCAAUCAGAUUUGUAGUGAACCAAAUUUUCCAUGAGAUUCAUAAGCAUCAGUGUUUAAUUUAGUGAGUAGUGUCAUCUUGAAAAUUAUAAAGCGUAGAGAUCCCAUGCUAUACUUCUGGGGAACAAUAGUGGCAAUACAUAAUGAAAAUUCAACACCAGGCUUAGAGAAUUAUUGCAACAAGUGGAGUUGUGCUAUUUUUUAAACAAAGAGAUUAGCACAUGUGCAACUGUGAGUUAUUCUAAAUAAAUUCCUAGCUGCAUGGGUUUACAUACUUCCUUUUGCCCUUGUCCCAUUUGUACAAUGUUAAUGCCUUCAUGCUUUGAAUAUUUCAUCUUUUUCUGAUCUAAAAUAAUGGGUAUGAUUGAUUACAUUUGGACUUGAGUUGGAUGCAUCACCAGAUUCACUCUUCACUUGUAGCUAUUUUUUUCUUUGUUUAGGGAAUGGAUAUGGCACUUUCAAAGCUUAAUAGUGGUGGAUGGGUUCGUAUAUAUUUUGUGAAGGAAGCUGUUGAACGAAAGAAGGGAAAAUCAUUGCUCCUGCCAGAGGUGUUGCAAGGUUAGGAAAUUAUUUUCCUCUUAUACUGUCAUUUUUCUAAAGAAAUACUAGACAAUAGAUCGCCAUCCGUUUGUUUCUGUUUGUAUAGCAAAACCUACACUCUGCUUAUACAUAUGCGUUAUAGACUUGUGUAUCAAUUCUGAGUUUUAGUCAGUUUUAUUGCCUCUUGUUUUACCAGAUGCUGGCAGCACUCCAUUUGUAAUACCCUUUGCCAAUACUGGGAUGCUGGAUAUAAUGUCUCUUGGAAAACACAUCCCCCGAGGAGGAAAAAGCAGGGCUAGAGCUAGGCCACCUUGUUGGGGUCAGCUGACUCCAAUGGAAUUUACGCUAGGCCAUUUUGCUGUAAUUUUAAAGAGUCCAUUGAUUCUUUCGGCUAGCUUCACCCCAGAAAAGGGGUGUCUGCUCCUAACCUAUACGACUCAUCAAAUUCUGUGAACAUAUUUGCACAACUCUAAACUAUUUUAUUGAUUUCUAGGUGAUUUUGGUUGUGGGUGAUGACAACAAACAUAUCUCUAGAGGGAUCUUGUAUGACAGAGCAAGACAAAGAACUGGGCAAAGAUUGCAAUCAAGGUCAAAGUUCAUAGACCGACUGCAGAGCAGCAGUCUGAACUCCAAAACCACAAUGCGUGAUGAUGGAUACCAGCUGUGGCAGUUGGUUGAUCGGGAAGGAUUUGAUGUAGGGAGUUUAUCAUACUAUCAUUGUAGAUUUUUUUUAGAGUUACUGUCACUAUAAAAUUGAUGUCGUUACAUGGGAGGGGUUCUGAACAACCUAUUCAUUUUUGCUCCAUCUCUAGCAUUAUUGUACCCUAUAAUAUUUGCUUAUAUGAUAUAAAAACUGAAGGCAAAACGUGAUUUACAUGGACUUCAGAAAUUUUGACAUGCCUCUUUGCCUUUUUUUUUGGUUUAUCCUGAAACCGUAUCCACUGAAAAUUUGACAUGGGGUUCUGAACAAGCUGUUCAUUUUUGCUCCAUCUCUGGCAUUAUUGUUCCACUUUUUCUUAUUCAAAUUUUACUGCACUAGGUUUUGUAGCAAUAUGUUGUUCCUCGAUGACAAUGGAUGAUCUUUGUACUUUUUUUUCCAUCAUGUUUAUGACUUUUGUACCUGGCGGAGUGUUGCAAGAGUCUGGAAUUGAAGUGUAUGCUUAGUGUCAGGGAACCCACUAACCAAUGAAAUCAGGUGAAGUGCCGCAAUUACACAAAAAAUAGCGCUCACAGGUUAAUACAAGUUUAAAUUUAAAAUUAUUAUAGCAUUAGUUUGUUCCCGUUGCAACGCACGAGCAUGGUCCUAGUACAACUAAAAAUUAUGGAAAGGACUCAUCUACCACAACCAUGGUGAAGCCACAACUCCACCCCUUUUAGCUAUGAUAGGCUAUCUCAUCAACCUAGGCCCCACUCACCCAUACAUGCAAAAUUGUUUUAGCGAAUUUAAAAAAGUCAUAACUUUUAAACUGAAGAUAUAAAUUAAAUUCCGAUUGCAAAAUUGAAUUUCUCAUAACAAAUCCUUCAAAACAAGAUGACACAUGGAUAUAUUUAGAUAAAAUUUUAUUAAUGAAUAUUUAUCUCUACAACUAAAAAUUGUCCCUUUUAGCUAUGAUAGGCUAUCUCAUCAACCUAGACCCCACUCACCCAUACAUGCAAAAUUGUUUUAACGAAUUUAAAAAAGUCAUAACUUUUAAACCGAAGAUAUAAAUUAAAUUCCGAUUGCAAAAUUGAAUUUCUCAUAACAAAUCCUUCAAAACAAGAUCACACAUGGAUAUAUUUAGAUAAAAUUUUAUUAAUGAAUAUAUAUCUCUACAACUAAAAAUUAUGGAAAGGACUCAUCUACCACACUCAUGGUGAAGCCACAAGUUCCAUCCCUUUUAACCAUGAUAGGCUAUCCCAUCAACCUAGUCCCCACUCACCCAUGCAUGCAAAAUUAUUUUAGCGAAUUUAAAAAAGUCAUAACUUUUAAACCGAAGAUAUAAAUUAAAUUUCAAUUGCACCAUUAAAUUUCUCGUAACAAAUCCUUCAAAACAAGAUCACACAUGGAUAUAUUUAGAUAAAAUUUUAUUAAUGAAUAUAUAUCUCUAUCUACUACUAAAAAUUAUGGAAAGAACCCAUCUACCACACUCAUGGUAAAGCCACAACUUCCAUCCCUUUUAGCCAUGAUAGGCUAUCCCAUCAACCUAGGCUCCACUCACCCAUGCAUGCAAAAUUAUUUUAGCGAAUUUAAAAAAGUCAUAACUUUUAAACCGAAGAUAUAAAUUAAAUUUCAAUUGCACCAUUAAAUUUCUCAUAACAAAUCCUUCAAAACAAGAUCACACAUGGAUAUAUUUAGAUAAAAUUUUAUUAAUAAAUAUUUAUCUUAUAAAGAUAAAAUAUUUUCUUUUAUUAAGUAGAAACAAUAUUCUAGGUUUAACAGACAAUGUUCUGUCUUUGUAAAAAAUGUUAUCGAUUUAGAAGAAUAGUAUUUUGGUUUUUGGUUUAUGAAAUUGAUAUUACAAUAUACAUAAAAAUACAUAAAUACAUGACAUAGAUAAAAAUAAAAAAACUAGAGUAAAAAGCAUAAGAAAAAAAAACACAAAAUGGAGAAAAAUUUCAGAUAAUGUCAAAGGGUUACUUUUCAAAUAUCGUAAAUAUAUUUAUAGAACAUUAACAUCACUAAAUACAUCAUAGAACAUCACAUCUAUUAUAGAUUACAUGUAUACUAAGUGAACACCGUAAAAAACAUCAUAGAAAAUCACAUAUAUACUACGUAAACAUGACAUAACACAACAUAGAACACUAAAUAUAUACUACAUAAAUAUCACAUAUAUAUAGAAAAUAAAAAUAAAAAAUAAAAUUACUAAGAAAAAAUAUAAAAAAUAUAAUUAACAAAUGAUAAAAAGUGCAUAGAGCAAAUAAAAUUUAUGAAUAAUUUAAAUAAGAAUAAAAAUAAGAUUAAAAAAAAUAAAAUAUAAAAUAAGAAUAAAGAAACAUAGAAAAUCUGAAAAGAAAAAAGAAAAACAAAUAGAAGCAAGGAAGAACAAAAAAAAACCAAAAGAAAAAAUAAAAUAAAAGAAAAAAUAAAAUAAAAGAAAAAUAAAAUAAAAGAAAAAUAAAAUAAAAGUAAAAUUUAAAACAAGAAAAGAAUAAGGAGAGGAUAGAAAAUAAAAUAAAAUCGAAAACAAAAACAGAAAAAAAUGAAAAAGAAAGAAUAUAGACAGAAAAAUAAAAUAACAAUGAAGAAACAUAGAGAAGCCGUAACAACAUACGGGCAUUAACCUAGUAUAUAUAUAUAUAUAACUAUACAACAACGCUAUUCUACACCCUAGGUGUAGAAUAUUAUUCUACACUUAGGGUGUAUAAUAGCACUUGUAUAUAUACACUUAGGGUGUAUAUAUAUAUGUGUGCUAGGUGUAGAAUAUUAUUCUACACCAAACUCUUAUACUGAGCAAAAUUCAGUAUCGUUCAGUAUUUGUGUUUCAGUAUUUUGUGGUCCUGAGUGUUGGACAAGUUGAUACUGAACACUCUCCAGUACUGCUCAGUAUUUUUUCUACUCAGUUUUGACUUGCACUGUAGAAUAAUAUUCUACACAUUAUAUAUAUAUAUAUAUAUAUAUAUAUAUAUAUAUAUAUAUAUAUAUAUAUAUAUAUAUAUAUAUAAAAGAGCUUAGGACUCGGAAGCCCCAGCCCAAACCUAUGUUUCACCAAACCAGGUUUCAGUCCACUGGCCUGCUAGCCCAUCCACCGACCCACCAGACCCACUUUCCCAGGCCUAUAUAUUCUCCAAAACCCUAAUCCCACCCAUCCACCCUGGCCGCCACCCCUGCCAGCCGCCGCAUCCUCGUCGUCGGGCUCCGACCAGCUGCGAUCUCCGUUGUUGGUUUUAUUAUACGGGAGAUUCGGGGGUCAGGUCCCAGGGGGAAAAUUCGUAAGCUGUUUGUACCUUUCCUCUCUCUUUUAACUUGGGGCAGAUUUGUUCUCUGAUUCGUUCAUUCUACCCGACCGAUCCUCCCGCCUCUAUGCAGGUGGAGACUGGAGAAUGAUGCUGAUGAACUUCAGGACUGGAUCUCGUACUACCUCGGGUCCUCGCUGCUGUCUGCCAGGCCGUUCGCGCUCUCCCCCGGCGCCGAUGACACCGUUGCUUCCAAGGGUGAUGCUCAUGGUGCGCUCCUUUUUUUUUUCCUGGUGAUUGUUGUUUUUGUUUUCAACAACGGUGUUGCCCAUGGUUAUAAACUUAGAAUCUUCGUUUUUAAUGGACUGUGGAUCCGGACGGUGUGAUGGUGGAUCCGGACUGUGGAUCCUGCUUCGAGCCAUUAACGGCACGGUGACCAGCCUAUGCCUUGUUUAGUUCACAAAUUUUUUUUUUUGGCUUUAACUAAUAUAACACUUUCAUUUGUAUUUAACAAUUAUUAUCCAAUCAUAUACUAAAUAGGUGGCUUUAGCUCAUGUUGGAAAUAUGUUUUUGCGCACGCUAAAAACAUGUUUCUACGCUAUUCUACAUGCCUUUCAUGCCACUAUAAGGUUUCUAUACAUGCUAAAACAUGUUUCUAUAUGUUAUGAAAACACAUGUUUCUAUGCUCAACAUUUCCACUUCUGUGAUUUAUUUUCACAUUUCUUCUAUGCAUGUUGUAUGAUUAUCCUCAGUCUUUUCUAUGCGUAUACUCAAAACUUUCUCUGAUUUGUUACUACUAUUUUUAUACAUUGUUUGGAGCAUAUUUUAUACAUUGUUGGUUGGGUGCUAAGAUUUUUUUGCAUGCUGAUCCAAAGGAAAGUAAUAGUUUUUAUAUUUGCAUGUAUAGAUUUAGAUGCAUGGUGAAACUGUGAUUAUGCUUAGUUGUAUUUGUUUCCACCCUAAUUGAUUUCAAAUUCUAAAUUUUGAAGAAAUCUGUAUACAUUGUGGAGCACUCUUUUAUGCAUUAUUAGAACAAUUCGACAUAUAUUGUUUGAAUAAUUAUCUCUAUGUACCUACGCAGCCUUGGAUUUUUGGUUCAGAUGCAUUGUGGAGCACUUUUCUAUGCACUGUUAGAAUAAUUAUAUGCGCACAAUUCUUCUAUGCUUAGUUGUAUGGGGUUUAUCUAAUUUUUGGUUGUAGCCUUGGAUGAAUAGGUGGUUUGCAUGAAAUGAAAAAGCUAUCAACGCAAGUAAGCAGGAUUUCUAUGCUUUGAUUUUGAUUUUUAUGCAUUUCUUUGACAUUAUGUGUAAUGAAUAAGUUUUUGUGCAAUUGACUUUGGAUCUUUAUGCUUCGUGGGUUCUAUGUUUGAUGAAUUAAGAUUUUACACAUUUAGAACCAUUCAGGUGGCAAGUCCACUGCAUGAUGCAGUCCACGGUCGCCGUGCUGGUAUGGGGCAGCGGUGGCGGUUGGUGGCGUGUAGUUCACAGCGGCGGUGCUAGUGCGAAUCAGCGGUGGUGGUCGGUUGGAUGGAAGAUAGCAAAGGAGCAGCGCGACGCAGCCAAGGAUUUUUGUAUUUUUAUUUGUUGAAGUUGGUGUUCUUAUGCUUGUGUGCAUAAGUUUCUAUAUACACAAUGGAGCACUUCUAUGUAUUUUUGUAUUCUUAAUGCUUGUGAGCAUAAGUUUCUAUACAUUGUUGAAGUAGGUCUAUGUUGUUUUUAUGUGACAAUAUUCUUAUUCACCAAACCACUAAUUUCUAUGCAACGUUGGCACCAAAAACUUUUCUAUGUAUUUUGAUUAUUGAUUCUAUGCAUCUAAACGUCAUCACGUGCCAUGAUUCAAAUUUUAAAUUUAUAAUUUUUUUCAGAAAUAUUCAAAGUGGAUCUUGAAUCGUGUAUAAAAAUGUCAGGAGUUCAAUGGUCAAAAUUAUUUUAAAAUUGGAAGCUCCAUCAAGGAAUUUUUAUGGAAAAAUAGAAGAGAAUAUAAUGGAAGAUGCAUGCAUACAUGUAUCAGCGCGUGUCAGCAUGUGUCAGCUGUAGUUAGGUGGAACAUGUGGAACGUCUAACUCGCAGAAAGGUUUUUACGCAGUAAUGAAUUAGUUUUAAUUCAUCCAUCGACUAAUUUCUAGGAGUAUUAAUAGGAGUAGUAAAUACAUGAGAGGGUUGCCGUGGAGCCAGUAGCGUAGCUGGCAGGGCUACACCCGUUUGGGCCCCAACCGACUGUAGGAACGCUAUCAUUUCUGCCAUCUGUUGCUGAUGGGCAAGCUGGUCGGCCUCUCGCUGGCGCUCUUGAGCCUCCAACCGCUCAGCCAUUCUUUGCUGCUCGGCCCUUGAUGCUUCGAGCUCAGCCUACAACAUUGGAAAUCAAAUGUUAGAGUAAUGCAAAGGUAACAAAAGCAACGCGAAGUAGAACUAUUGAAAAAUGAUGAACAACCUGGAGUGCGUCGACCCGGUGCUGUGCAGGCUCCGGCCGUGGGCGUAUGGGCGGGCGGCUUCUCACGCUCGUGGUCGAUGCUCGGAUCUUGGAGAGGGUGGGAGUAGUCGACCUGUCGAUGACGCUGUUGCCAAUCCAGUAGCGCCCAUGCUUCUUGCCGCCUCCUAUCCUCAUGACAAGGUCUCCAUCAAUGUCAUCGGUGGAUGGAUCGUAGUCCGGGCCAUGGACCUGCCUUGCCGCCUGCGCGUAGGCGGUGACCUUGUCGUAGACGCCCGCGUUGGUGUACGCCUCGGGCGGGUCGUCCACGCUGAAGGAGACGUCAGACGACGUCGGGCCCUUGUGGGACAUGCCAUACGCGGCGAACAAAGAGCAAGGCUGUCCCCCGUGUGCCACCGACUGCGAGAAAGAUAGCAACAGGGUUACAAAUGAGGCAUAAUUGAAUGAAUGGAAACAUUACCACGUACCCAUGCUUGUGCGUAUCCAGAGAGGCUGCGGUUCCCCUGAUGGUGUGCUACACCAGGCAUCCGUCGACGCCUUUCCUAGGCCGCCCUGUGCGCCUCACGAAACACGGGGUCCAGCCACUUGUCCACCAUCGCCUCCCAGGCGUCAGGACAGUUAGCGCACCACCAGGCCCUCAUCUUCACAUCAAUUAUGUUACAUAUAAGAAUAUGAAACAAUGCACUGAUAAAAGGCUAAGGAAUCAAUAUGAGAAUCUACCUCUUCAUCCAUGUACUGCUCACGGGUCAAAUCUAUUUCCCUUGCCUCCGCCUUGGUCUUCCUCUGUCCAAGCCUCGUCGCAUAGUAGUUGACGACGGUCUGGACGCGCACGUUGUAGUGCAUCUCACUGACGCGCGUCCUUGCAGACGCGGCAACCACGGUGUCGGCAUAGUCCUGGUCAAUUCCAUCCUCGAGUUUGAAGUGGCGCUGCAUAUAGACACGACAUUAUUGCAAUGAUAAGCCCUUCGAAACGAUCAACUCUUUCCUCAGGCACGAGAGCCUCUAUCUGAUCAUAAACCUCAGCACCAGUGAACAUCUGCGGUUGAGGAUCUGUCACUAUGACACCUUUCCUAAAGUUCUUAAUGUCAUGCUGAAAUGGAUGGUCAAUAGGGAGGAAUUGACGGUGUUGGUCAAAAGACGAAUACUUGCCACCCUUGUUGAGCCAGAUGAACUUCACACGAUCCUUGCAUAAUGGACAUGGGAAUUUACUGUGAACACACCAGCCACAGAAUAUACUGUACGCUAGGAAGUCAUGUAUGGAGUACUGGUACUAAACAUGCAUUUUGAAGGGCUUCUGUGUAGCCCGAUCAUAUGUCCAUACCCCUUCGUUCCAAGCACUAAUUAAUUCAUCAAUCACAGGCUCUAUGAACACACCCAUAUGUUUCCCUGGGUGCCCAAGAAUUAUCAACGACAAGAAUAUGUGCUCACGUCGGAAGGCGACACCGGGGGGAGAUUGAGUGGGAUAACGAACACAGGCCAACAUGAGUAUGGGGCAGCCAUCAAUCCAUAGGGAUUGAACCCAUCUGUUGCCAGCGCAACACGCACAUUACGAGCCUCUUCUGCUUUGUCAUGGUGAAUUUUAUCAAAGUGGACCCAUGCUUCACCAUCAGCCGGAUGCACCAGCUUAUCAGGAUUGUAUCAUUUGCCCUCUUUAUGCCACGUCAUCUGUUUCGCAUAUGUCUCACUUAUGUAUAGCCGUUGGAUCCUCGGAACGAACGGGAGGUGGUGUAGGACUUUGACGGGGAUCGCAAGUUGUUUCUUCUAGCCAUCCCCAGAGUCAGCCUCUAGAUAUCUGGAGGAGUUGCACUUUGGACAGUAAUUUGCAUCCUUGUAAUCUUUCCUAAAUAGAACACAAUUUUUGGGACAGACAUGUAUCUGCUCGUAGGGCAUCUUAAGUCCAGCAAGGAGUUUCUGGCACUCGUACAAGUUCUUUGGAAGAACGUGGUCAGUUGGCAGCAGGCUACCAACCACAGUCAGCAUUACAUUGAAGAAUUCUCGACUCAUGUUAGCAUCGGACUUAAACGCCAUCAAGCGUCCGAUGGCAUCGAGCUGACAAAUGUCAGUUUGACCGUGAAGAGGUUUCUGUACUGAAGACAACAUGUUGUAGAACGCCUUUGCACAUUCCUCGGUCUCCUCAUCUACACGUCCAUCAAAGAACUGUGCCUGCUGAUAGUCAUCUAACAUGUCUGCGACCCCGGCAUCAUCAUCAACAUGCUCGAUGCGUGGUCUCACGACCUCCUCUCUUGUCCGAUGGGCUUCACCAUGGUAGACCCACCGAGUAUAGUUCGGCAUAAAUCCAUUCUUCAGAAGGUGUUGACCCAUUCUUAUCUUGUCUUGCCAUCUCCUAUUUGCACAUUUCAUGCAGGGACACAACACUCUAUUGCUUCCUUUCGUAGCCGGUCCAAAUGCACUAUCCAAAAAAGCCUCAGUCUUCGUGAACCAUUCAUUGGUGAAAUCAGUCUGACUUCUACGGCCCGUGUACAUCCACUGACGAUCAUCCAUCCUCUAACAUAUAUAGCGAGGAGUAAUGUGACUUGCAGAUAAAAGGUGUACCUAACAUCUAAUAGGAUAGGAUAGGUCCUAAUCCCACCCGCGUAUGCGUAGUAGGGUUAGUUUCCAUAGUCUCCUCCGAUCCGAGACAGAAUUUCGGCAGCACCUCCCCGUUGUUCUCCAGAUACACGUCCUGGCAUGGAGAGUGUGUAUCCGAAGAACAACGUCGAGGUGAUGCCGAAACUCUAUCUCGGAUAUGAGCAAACCAUGGAAACUAACCCUACUACGCAUACGCGGGCUGUCCAAAGAACGUGGACAAUCCGAAACUGAUACGGCCAGAGAGAUAUGCAAUAAUCUGCAUACCUCCAACCGUACCUAUUUCGGACGGGAGACGCCUAACUACGUCACGUGAUCUAUGAGAAGAAACCCUAAACCCUAAAAAAGAAUGCAGGAAAAGUAGAAGAUGCAGGACGAGAGGGUAUACCUAGUGCGAAGGUGUAGCAGAGACACUCCGAGUCCGCUCCUAUGCACAAACCUCUCUGCAAAAUGAAACACCACGUUUAAGGUCAAAUUUUCAGCAGCACCUCCCCUGCGUGGAGAGGAACCCAAAUCCUGCAAAAGCAACGGCACGAUGGCCGGUAACCACAAUUCAUAUCAACCGAAAAGGCACGAAGGCCGACACCAUCCACCAUCAUGAACACACUAGCACCACAUGUAUAUCAAGUCACUACUAACUACUAACUACUAUUAACUAAUAAGACUAAUAACUACUAUAACUACUAACUACUAACUACUAUUAACUAAUGAAACUAAUAACUACUAUAACUACUAACUACUAUAACACUACUACUAACACUACACACACUAGUACUAACACUACUGACCAUUACCUUGGUGGCGGUGGAGUUGGCCAACGCGGUGCUCCGGCGACGACACGGAUGGCCGCCGAUGACGAACAGCUCCGCCGGUGGAGUCCCCUCCUCUCUCUUCCUCCUCCUCCCUCCUUCCUCUGCCUGCUCCUCCCUUCCUCUUCCUCUUCUGUCUCCUCCCUCUCGGGUGUAAAUGCCGUGGAGAUGUUUAGGUUUCUGAGGGUCCGACGUGACGCCGUGCACGAAACUUUCUCAAAAUUUUACCACAAGCUACACAUGAGAUGUGAUGACACCUCAUAAAGUUUUGCGAUUUUUUGAACUCGUUUGGAUUUUCUAUAAUUUAAAACAUAUUCUACACUGUCUCAAAAGUCAGGGUUCGCGAAUGAAACAUGCGAGAGCUAGGGUGUUUUCGUGCACACGGCCUUGAGUUAGCGUAAGUACCAUGAAUAUCGACAUUUCGUGCAUAGAAACACGUGAUUUCAUGCACUUCAAGUUCUUACCAAUAUUUUUCAACAAACUCACUUAAACAAAAAAAAGCAAGAAAUAUAGCAAAAUGUCUACAAACUAAUCCAUACUUUGACAUGUUGUCACAGUAAGUGUAAGAAGGUCAGAGAAAAAGUUUGGUAGAUAAAAACAAAAAAAAAGGAAGUUUGCCGAGAGCUGAGCCCUGGCUCUCGGCAAAGACACAAGUUUACCGAGAGCUUAACGUUGCUCUCGGCAAAGGGAACGGUGUUAACCCCGUCAAGCUCUUUGCCGAGAGCUCUAACUAGGCUCUCGGCAAAGCGUCCACUAUGCCGAGCGUCUGCCUAUACCGAGCGUCUGCCUAUGCCGAGAGUUAAGCUCUCGGCAAAGGCCUAUUUGCCGAGAGUGACGGUUGGCAAAUUUCGUGUUUACCGAGAGCCCGAUAGAAUGCUCUCGGCAAACUUCAAAGCUCUAGGCAAAUCUAGUGUUUCCGUAGUGAAAGAAGCUGGCUUUGGCUAAACAGAUCGAGUGUCCAACUACUUGGCAGUCUGUACAGCACACCUGCUGUACGUACCAACUCCACACAGGUUUAUAGAUUGGCUAAGCAUGCCACGUGCCGUGAUUCCUUUCCGGGAUAUAAUAGAGAAAAAACUAGCGCGUUAGGCAAGCUCGAGAGGCCCGUUAGAGAUGAGACAUCUCCAUGUAUUAUUCAAACACUUAUGGUGCAGUCUUCAUCGCAUGCUGCGCGCAGUUGCAGCUCCACAUCUUUGUGGAAAAGAUACCGUGUGUUUUAUGUCUUACCAGCAGUCUGAUUAGCAAGCUGUCACAGACAUACUCCUUCAGACUUUACUUUCUCUUUUCCUUAUUAGGCCCAGUAAGUCGGCAUGUGGGCCGCUUGGUUGUAUCGGGCUUAAAGCCCAAGACCAGUGAACUAUAUGACAUUGCUGUGUGGGUGGUUGGGCGGACAGCAACAAUAACAAACCAAAUUCCACUUCUCUUCUUCCUCACGAGCUCUCCCUGCUUGAGGCGGCUCUGCCGUGCUCCUGGCCGUGCGCGUACGCCGGCAACACCUCUCCCUCCUUUCCGGCCGAGAUCGCCACAUCUGGUAUCAAAGCCAAGUUACCUUCCCACCGAUCCAAGUCGCUAUCACCGCCAGACCCACCUCCGCCGCCAUCACCGCCAGACCCACCUCCGCCGCCCUCACCGCCACAUCCACCUCCGCCGCCG